CCGGCGGCCCAACGAGGGAACGGCUCCAACAGACGCCGCGGAGCUCCUCUCGGCGACCCCUCAGCGCCGCCACGCGGCGCCGGGCCCUCAGCUGCCCGGCCGGGCGUGCCCAGCCGCCUCAGGAACGGAAUCAGACAAAUGUGGAGCAGUAGAUGAAGCCUGCAAUUCCUACUGACGGAAAGGCCCAAAAAAGUCUGCCUGGUGCCAGAGGGUGUGCACAGCUGCCAUAGUCACUGGCUCCAAGUCCCUGUAUUUUUGUCGCCGACGAUUCAGUACAAACGCUACUACCCACGCAAGUGAAAGUAGUCCAGAUAAUUUUGAGAGUACAUAUUUUCUUCUCCUAUCAUGGUCCCAGCGUUAAUAUACAGAUAAUGCUUACUGAGAAGAUGCCAACAUGCGAAAUACUAGAAAUUAUGAACUCCAGCAAAGCAGCAGAUGUAUCUUUAAUGAAUAAAGGAAUUCUAAAGACGUUAAUGAUAAUUUAAAAGGGGGUGAUAGAGAGGGCAAAUCAACAAUAGAAAGGGGAAGAAAGGGAAAGAGAGGUAAACAGAUGAGAGAAGCCGAGAAGGAUACGGGAAAUAUUAAAAAGCAAAAGCCCAGAACUCUCUCCAUGCAGCAGUCAUGAAGAAUUUCAACAGUUUAAAAGCGCUAUUGUUUCUCAAUAAAUUGAGUUAUAUCCUGCUUCCCAGGAGACAUAGUUAGGAAAAGUAAGCAUUAAAAUAUAUUUUCAAAUACUGUGA